rnacentral:lncRNA from 1 species
UAACAGUUAUUGAGUAUUUGUAAGAAUACAAUCGUGGGUAUGUUGGGGUUUUGUAUACAAAAUUUGUUACAACCUGGUUAAGGAGUAACAUUUCCACAAGUCAGGUCUGACAGUACCGACGGGUGAUAAUUGAUAUAACUUGGAAACAAAUGUAAUUGCGGGAUGCGCCCUCAAUACUGUUCACUGUAACUUAGUGUGAAGCCAAUAAAAGCCAGCUGGAGAGCACUGAAGGCUUGGAAAAGUGGCUAUAAAGUUACCUAAAAUAAAAUAGAUGUUUUUAUUAAAUCAAAUAGGAUUUAUUCCUAUGAAAAUGUAUGUACUGCAAAACUUGGGUUUUAUCCCAUGUGUUUAAUAUUAUGAAAAUAUGAUGGUUUUACU